AGAUUACAUAUGAAAAUACAAGUUAUAGAGGGGAAAAGUGAGCAAGAACUGAGUGAGACAGGAAACCCCAAGAGACUGCUGCAGCUACAUAGGAAGUUUUCUCUCAGCCCAAGUGCUUUAACCACAACCAUACAGGUCAACCUGGAUGGGGUGGAGGUCAGAGAUUUCUGGAGGCCAGUCAAGUUCUACCCCAUCAAACAUGGAGGAAUCUCACAGGACACAGUCAUGCUGAAACAGAUGACACUGACAACCGCAAUUGCCAGAACAACUUGCGGAUCAGGGGAGUCCCUUAAAGUGUCUCUGCUGGAGACCAGGAGCCAGCUAUACAGGCUUUAUUAGGUUCUUUGUUGGAUGGGUUGCUCCUACCUAUUGAAAUUGACCGAUUAAAUAUGACCUUGGGACCUUGUCUGGAAGAUACAGCCAGAUCCAGAGAUAUUAUAUGCAGAGUCCACUUUUUCAAGCAAAAAGAGACCCUUUUGAGGGCUGCAAGACAAUGUGACAACAUGGAGGGAGGGACAACCAAUGGCCAAAUACUCCCAGAUAUAUUGCAGAGAAUACUUUAUCUAUGCAGAGUUGUCCCCCCCAAUCAUCACACUAAGAGGAAAAAGAAAUCUUGUAAAGAUGGGGAUAUCCUCUCCAGAUCUCCAACAGGAAAGAUGGCAGAAUCUUAAUCUUCCGUGACCCAGGAGACCUACUCAAACUUUUACAGACAUUUGAACUUUCCAUGACUAAUCCUUGAGUGGCCCAUCCUUCUUGUUCUCAUCUCUUCUCCAACUAGACAGCAUGGACAUAAGUCUCCCCUCAAACCUGACGAAGACCACAUCCAUCCGGCUAUGCGGGGGCCCUACACUGUGAAUUUUCCUCAGAAGGAAGGCGAUUGGUGACACCAAGUUUUGGAGGGACUAAUGUCUGAACUUGUGUUAUGUUUGCCUUUCUGUAGUUUCUUAUGUUAUCCUUGCAAUUUUUAUAAUGCCCUUGUGGUUCCACUCCAAGGUUUCUUGGGUUCUGGGCCAAGUGAGAUGUCUCAUUUGUGCCACAAGAGGCACAAAUGAGGCUCUCAUUUCUCUGACUCUUGUAGGUCUGUUUGACAGGUUAAUUCACUUAUUGGACCGGUAAUCUAUUUUUUGUCUGGGGAGAGGUGUUCUCACCCCCUAAUGAGGCUUUCACUCUCAAUUACAAUGAUGGUCGGCUAUUCUCCAGCUGUCUUCCAUAACUGUUUGAUUGUUCUUCUUUUCUAUUUUUCUUACAUGGCUGUUACACUUUUUAUGUUCCCUUCUGUGUGUGCCACCUUUUGUGCCUAUAUUCCUGAUCGCUAACGUAUAUUUUCCCAUCCAGGACCAAAUUUGCCCCUUUCCUUGUUUGCAGCUUUGGAGGACAUUACAGAUGGCCUGCUGAGUAUCUUAGGUGCUGACUUAAAUUUUUCUUCUGGAUGUUUCAUUGGAUAUCUCCACUGGUAAUUCC